rnacentral:rRNA from 1 species
CAGCAUCCUAUGCUGGCUGUCCGGGUGUGUAAAAUACACCUGUUAGCAAGGGCCGGGCAAGACCGGUGCCAGCCGCCGCGGUAACACCGGCGGCCCGAGUGGUGAUCGUGAUUAUUGGGUCUAAAGGGUCCGUAGCCGGUUUGGUCAGUCCUCCGGGAAAUCUGACGGCUCAACCGUUAGGCUUUCGGGGGAUACUGCCAGACUUGGAACCGGGAGAGGUAAGAGGUACUACAGGGGUAGGAGUGAAAUCUUGUAAUCCCUGUGGGACCACCUGUGGCGAAGGCGUCUUACCAGAACGGGUUCGACGGUGAGGGACGAAAGCUGGGGGCACGAACCGGAUUAGAUACCCGGGUAGUCCCAGCCGUAAACGAUGCUCGCUAGGUGUCAGGCAUGGCGCGACCGUGUCUGGUGCCGCAGGGAAGCCGUGAAGCGAGCCACCUGGGAAGUACGGCCGCAAGGCUGAAACUUAAAGGAAUUGGCGGGGGAGCAC